GAUUUCCGUGGAGAGGAACAACUCUGAGU
rnacentral:piRNA from 3 species